rnacentral:rRNA from 1 species
GAUGGAUCAGUGGCGAACGGGUGAGUAACACGUGGGCAACCUGCCCCUGACUUUGGGAUAACGCUUCGAAAGAGGUGCUAAUACCGGAUAUGAGCUCCCUUGGCAUCUUGGGGGCUGGAAAGUUUUUCGGUCAGGGAUGGGCCCGCGGCCUAUCAGCUAGUUGGUGAGGUAAUGGCUCACCAAGGCGACGACGGGUAGCCGGCCUGAGAGGGUGACCGGCCACGCUGGGACUGAGACACGGCCCAGACUCC